UACGAAGGGUGCAAACGUUGCUCGGAAUCAUUGGGCGUAAAGCGCGCGUAGGCGGUUACUUAAGUCGGAUGUGAAAGCCCUCGGCUUAACUGAGGAAGUGCACCCGAAACUGAGUAGCUAGAGUACGAAAGAGGGUCGCGGAAUUCCCGGUGUAGAGGUGAAAUUCGUAGAUAUCGGGAGGAACACCGGUGGCGAAGGCGGCCAUCUGGACCGCAACUGACGCUGAGGCGCGAAAGCGUGGGGAGCAAACAGG
rnacentral:rRNA from 1 species